rnacentral:rRNA from 1 species
GAUGAACGCUGGCGGCGUGCUUAACACAUGCAAGUCGAACGGGAAACCUUUUAUUGAAGCUUCUGCAGGUUUAGCUGGUUUCUAGUGGCGGACGGGGGAGUAACGCGUGGGUAACCUGCCUUAUACAGGGGGAUAACAACCAGAAAUGGUUGCUAAUACCGCAUAAGCGCACCGGACCGCAUGGUUCGGUGUGAAAAACUCCGGUGGUAUAAGAUGGACCCGCGUUGGAUGAGCUAGUUGGCAGGGUAACGGCCUGCCAAGGCGACGAACCAGAGCCGGGCGGGGAGGGGGAACGGCCACAAUGGGGCUGAGGCACGGCCCAGAAUCCUACGGGGGGGAGGAGUGGGGAAUAUUGCACAAUGGGGGAAAACGUGAUGCAGCGACGCCGCGUGAAGGGAGAAGUAUCUCGGUAUGUAAACUUCUAUGAGCAGGGAAGAUAGUGACGGUACCUGACUAAGAAGCCCCGGCUAACUACGUG